ACCAAAAAAAAAAAAAAAUAGCCAAAGCUCAUGGCUUAUAUCGCAUUGCCAAGUGCUGCAGAGUAACCAUCCUGGAGUACCACUCUGUUCAUCUGACCCCCCUGCAAAGUACCCUCACAAUUGCUUCCUGAUUAUGCAAAUUUUUCAGGUACAAAAUGACCCAACUUUGCCUUCUCAAUCCUGGAUCCCACCACUGUAAUCUACAUGCCCUGUCUCCAACCAACUGGGCUAUUCACUUCUCUUUUCACAACGCAGCACUCACCUAGCUCCUUGCCUUUGUCCAUACUGGUGCCAACAUGUUAUCAUCAAGCACAUGGUGUUUUUGCAGAGACGGUUGGUAAAUAAAUAAGGAAUGGGCCUCCAGUGGCCUCCAUGAUAAUAUAUUAUUCCUCACCCCUCUGAUUUUCCUCCUCCUGUUUUUCUACCACAACCCCUCCUAUCUAGUCACACUCCUAAAUGUUCCACUCUCUUCAUUAACCCACAGCUGAACUUCAGGCUUUACAAUCCUAACAUGUUAACAGACAUUUAUGCGGGGUCUACUCUGAAGCAGGUACUGCACAAGGUAUAUAGGUGAAACAAAGACGAAUAAGCUACUUAUGUUCCUGCCCUGAAAAAGCACACAAUUAACUACAGAAUGAGAAAUGCAGGAUGCUUGGGGAGUGCAGGAGGGAAUUUAAAGACAGUUUUUUGGAGUUUUAACCUGAAAAAUAAAACUAUCAGUUAUUUUACUAGCAAAAAAAUGGUUUUUUUCAGGAAUAACAGAAUUCCAAUUCUGGACAUGCAACAAACAAAGAGGAACAUUAUUUUGUGCAGAAGAAGAAUGAAGCUGGGAGGGUUUUUUCCAAACAAAAGUCCAUUGGGGGGGAAAAAAUAGCAGAAGUCCAGGUCAUGAUGGUUUCCAAAGGGCUGAGUUGCAGGGGUAGUGGAGAUGUUGUCAGAGAUACGAAAUACAUCUUUCCCUUGCAGGAGCCUGUGAUUGAUGAUUCUUUCCUGCUGCUGAUUCUUCUGUUGGGCUCUUCAUUGAUAAUUCUUUCUGUAAUUAACCAUAAUUGAUGUUGAGUGAAACUGUCGGAAGAUCCCGGAGCAGGCCGGAGACACGGUCGCGGGGGCUGGAGCGCCCCCCGAGGCCCCUGCUAGGCGGACAGACCUCUCGGGUCGUGAGUGUGCGCCUCGGCCUCCGCCGCACCUGCACCCGAUUCCGACCGCGCUCGUGCCGUCUGCCCCCAAACUUAUGCACUUAAUUAUCUUUUCCUGGA